CCUACGGGUGGCAGCAGUAGGGAAUCUUCCACAAUGGGCGAAAGCCUGAUGGAGCAACGCCGCGUGGGUGAAGAAGGUCUUCGGAUCGUAAAACCCUGUUGUUAGAGAAGAAAGUGCGUGAGAGUAACUGUUCACGUUUCGACGGUAUCUAACCAGAAAGCCACGGCUAACUACGUGCCAGCAGCCGCGGUAAUACGUAGGUGGCAAGCGUUAUCCGGAUUUAUUGGGCGUAAAGGGAACGCAGGCGGUCUUUUAAGUCUGAUGUGAAAGCCUUCGGCUUAACCGGAGUAGUGCAUUGGAAACUGUGAGACUUGAGUGCAGAAGAGGAGAGUGGAACGCCAUGUGUAGCGGUGAAAGGCGUAGAUAUAUGGAAGAACACCAGUGGCGAAAGCGGCUGUCUGGUCUGUAACUGACGCUGAGGUUCGAAAGCGUGGGUAGCAAACAGGAUUAGAUACCCCUGUAGUC
rnacentral:rRNA from 1 species